UCGUCCUCACCAAAAUAAAUAAAUAAAUAAAUAAAUAAAUAAAUAAAUAAAAUGUGGAUAUGGAGGAUAAUAGAGAAGCUCCAAACACUGGAUAAUUUAUAUUUGCCCCUCAAGAACCCCUCUUUACCCUCCAUCACCCUUUUCUGUCUUUUCUGUGUCCCAGGAGGCUGAUCUCUACAAAUGGCUCACAUGCCUUCUGGCUUACAGUCAAGUUUGCUUAAAGGGAGUCACCCACUGCAGAUCAGGGAGAGUAAAGAGAAUGAGGUCAAGGUGUUUAUUUCCCUGCCUCCUCCUUGUUGGAAUGUUGCUGGUUGGCUGGUUCCUCUGCUGAAAGCCAUAGCCCCUUUCAUGGUCGCCUCAAUUACGGCUCCUCUCUCUCUCUUGUCCUUUUAGGCCUAGGAAGUGACAAUUCCUACUUGUUAGCCCUGCUGUGUUUAAUCAUACCUUAAUGUGCAUGCUCACAUUUGUUAAUAACUUUUCUCAAUAAGUGUGUUUGAUUGUGUCAUCACUUUCUUGCCCGGACCCUAACUGAUAUAGGCUCUUAUUUGAAAUGAUUUAAUAUCUUCUUAAUAUCUUUCCCUAAGUCCUGCUAAAAUGGUAGAAGACUUAGUAAAAUGAUGAUGAAUCCAUAGAAAGCCCGGGUAUCCAAUGCGGGUGACAGCAGCAGAAAAUAAAACAAGUAAAUUCCACACUGACAGUGAAAAUCAGCUGAACUGAGGACCAUGCCUCCUACACAGAUUUGCUGGACUGUGGAACAAGUGAACACCUCAGUUAUGAUGAGGAGGCUGUCUGAAGGCUCUGACUCGGGCCCAUCACCCAAUCCAAGCUCCUUCAAGCAAGAUGAAGGCAGCACCAUGGCAGAGCCAAAUUCUCUGGGUUCUGAAAUCAGGCAGGAUGCAUUUCAAAUCCCUGUGCCAGCUCUCAUGAGUUGUGAAACUUGCUGUUCUUACUUUUCCGUAGAACAAUGGAGAUACUCCUACAGAUGCUUCCCACAGGAAAUUCUUCCCCAGAGACUGCACUUGAGAUGAGGAGAAAAUGUGAAAUUCUUCAGCUAAAGUUCAUGCAGCUCCUUUCCAAUCAGACACGAGAUGUGUGAACCAAGGAAACAGAAACCUAUGUUUGCAGGACCACUUCUCUCCAUAUUUGCCUGGCUAAUGGAGAAAGCUGAGGGAGGAAAGAAAUGCCUUUCAGGGAAUAGAGUAUCAUGAGGUCAGCUACAAUGGAGAAAUGCCAGACGUUGAAAUUUAGGAGUAGAUAAUUUUACCUAUUGGACUAGCCAAAAGCAUUUAUUCUGGGCCAGUAUCUGAUACUACGCAGGAAGACAGGCCUCCUUUAUCUUUUCUCAAAAUCACUUUUUACAUAGUCUCCAUAGGAAAACUGGGGUGAAGAUAUUUUGCCCUUCGUGGAAUACUUUGGGGAAUGAGAAUGAGUCUUCGUAAACCGUCUCGAGCAUUUUAACAAACUGGCCGUCAUCCAUAUAUUUGUCUACAUAAUGCCAAACACUUGGAUACGUGGAAACAUUCAGACAUCAGCUUUCAUUUUCAACUUGUCAUUCAAAUGGUACAGACCUAGGCUAUGUCUAUGUGUCAUUUGAACUGGGUAGUCGUUGAAGAGGCAGUGGGCGAACAGAAUUUCAACAACACCUUUUUUUUAUUGCUUUCUAUAUUUUGUUUCCCCUGAGAUAACUUCAACUUAAAUCGUGGAAGCAUACAGUUUUAGGAUCCCCAAAAGAAGUAAAAUGCUUACACUGAAACAGAAAUCUACAUAACGUUAAAAAACAGAUAUUCACUUAGGAUGAUGUCAGAGACUGGAAUGAGAGACAGGCGGACGAUCCAUGGAGCCCCAGCUAUUCGGCACCCUGAGAUAAAAGGGCAUAGACAAAGAGCCGGCUUUGUAAGAACACAGGUUUUAGUGCUGUGAUUUAAAGAGUACCAAGAAUUAUACCUCUCAUCAACUAUCUCCCACAUCUGGACUAAAUAUCUUUUCUUCAUUUUGCCUUAUUUUCUAUAAAUUAUCGUAGAGAAUCAUUAAUUUGUAGUAAUAAACAUCAUCUUUUAAAGUAUAAUCCCCUCUCCUCCAAAGAAAUGGUUAUGAAUUACAAAUUUGUUAAGAAUGCAAUGGCAACUAGACUUCUGGUGGUGAACACGAUGCAGUCUAUACAGAAGUCAAAAUGUAAUGAUGUACAUCUGACAUUUAUAUAAUGUUAUAAACUAAU